rnacentral:rRNA from 1 species
UACAGGAGGUCUCAAGCGUUUGUUCGGGAUUCAUUGGGCGUAAAGGGUGUGUAGGUGGCGCGUAAGUACGGGUGUGAAAUUUCGGAGCUUAACUCCGAAACUGCAUUCGAUACUGGCGUGCUUGAGGACUGGAGAGGAGACUGGAAUUUACGGUGUAGCAGUGAAAUGCGUAGAUAUCGUAAGGAAGACCAGUGGCGAAGGCGGGUCUCUGGACAGUUC